GAUGAACGCUAGCGGCAGGCCUAACACAUGCAAGUCGAGGGGUAGAACACUUCGGUGUUUGAGACCGGCGCACGGGUGCGUAACGCGUAUGCAAUCUACCUUGUACAGGGGAAUAGCCCAGAGAAAUUUGGAUUAAUGCCCCAUAGUAUAUAACCUUCGCAUGUUGGUUAUAUUAAAGUUCCAACGGUACAAGAUGAGCAUGCGUCCCAUUAGUUAGUUGGUAAGGUAGCGGCUUACCAAGACGAUGAUGGGUAGGGGUCCUGAGAGGGAGAUCCCCCACACUGGUACUGAGACACGGACCAGACUCCUACGGGAGGCAGCAGUGAGGAAUAUUGGUCAAUGGGCGCAAGCCUGAGCCAGCCAUGCCGCGUGCAGGAAGACGGUCCUAUGGAUUGUAAACUGCUUUUAUACAGGAAGAAACCCUCCCACGUGAGGGUAGCUGAAGGUACUAUACGAAUAAGCACCGGCUAACUCCGUGCCAGCCGCCGCGGUAAUAC
rnacentral:rRNA from 1 species